rnacentral:rRNA from 1 species
CCUACGGGAGGCAGCAGUGAGGAAUAUUGGUCAAUGGACGAGAGUCUGAACCAGCCAAGUAGCGUGAAGGAUGACUGCCCUAUGGGUUGUAAACUUCUUUUAUAUGGGAAUAAAAUGUUCCACGUGUGGGAUUUUGUAUGUACCAUAUGAAUAAGGAUCGGCUAACUCCGUGCCAGCAGCCGCGGUAAUACGGAGGAUCCGAGCGUUAUCCGGAUUUAUUGGGUUUAAAGGGAGCGUAGGUGGAUUGUUAAGUCAGUUGUGAAAGUUUGCGGCUCAACCGUAAAAUUGCAGUUGAAACUGGCAGGCUUGAGUACAGUAGAGGUGGGCGGAAUUCGUGGUGUAGCGGUGAAAUGCUUAGAUAUCACGAAGAACUCCGAUUGCGAAGGCAGCUCACUGGACUGCAACUGACACUGAGGCUCGAAAGUGUGGGUAUCAAACAGGAGUAGAUACCCCAGUAGUC